rnacentral:rRNA from 1 species
UACGGAGGGUGCAAGCGUUAAUCGGAAUUACUGGGCGUAAAGCGUGCGCAGGCGGUUUGUUAAGUCCGUUGUGAAAGCCCCGAGCUCAACUUGGGAAUUGCAGUGGAUACUGGCAGGCUGGAGUACGGUAGAGGAAGGUGGAAUUCCCGGUGUAGCAGUGAAAUGCGUAGAUAUCGGGAGGAACAUCAGUGGCGAAGGCGGCCUUCUGGACCAGUACUGACGCUCAUGCACGAAAGCGUGGGGAGCAAACAGG